ensembl:lncRNA
GGAUUUUCCUCUCCUUUGAGAAGAGGACAGAACUGCCUUUCUGCCGAAUAAAUCCAUUUUUCUCCAUUUCUCCUCUACAGAGUGAAACUCAGCACUUGCCUGGAAAAGUUCUAUGGGAGCUCAUUGUGUUGCCUGUUUUCUAGCUAUGGGGAACCAGCACUGCCACCGUUAGAAUGGAUCUGGUUGUGAGCAUCAAUUCAGAACUUUUUUUCCUCACCCAGGUUUGGAAUCACUGUCAUCAUUUGACGGAGGGGAAAUUUCUCACUGUAAUAAAUCAGUACAUUUUCAUGGUAUCGCAUGGUUGCAAAUCUGAGGUGACAUCAGGGUUUCUUUAUAAACCUUUGAAAACAUUCCUGAAGAAACAAGAAACAGAUUUGACUCACCACUAGCUUUUCUAACUUCAAAUCAACCGAUUCCACCUUUGCUACUUAGCAUACUUUUACUUAUUUCUAAGAGAUCAUCUGUUGUUCAUUUCAAGAACUGUUCAAAAUCUUUUCUAAUCAAGUCAGGCCUUCAAUCCCAUAUCCAACAGCAGUAGUUUUAGAUGGUAACCCUACUUCCUAAAUAAACUAAAUUAAAUUAAUAAAAUGAAAUAAAAG